rnacentral:ncRNA from 2 species
GGUUAAGAGAUGCGGCCCCAAUCCCUCGGAAUGGUCGCACGGCAACCGGUAACCGCUCCGGUGCCCUCCGAGGAAGACCAGGCCUCCACAGUCGUAGAGGUCAAGCGGUCUCG